rnacentral:rRNA from 1 species
GACCUCAGAUCAGGUAGGACCACCGCCUGAACUUAAGCAUAUCAAUAAGGCGAGGAACAGAAACCAACAGGGAUUCCCCUAGUAGUGGCGAAUGAAGCGGGAAAAGCUCAAGUUUGAAAUCUGGCGGGCUCGUACCAUCAGAGUUGUAAGCUGAAGAGGCAUCGACCGACGUCGUCCGGGCCCAAUUUCCUUGGAACAGGAAGUCAUUGAGGGUGAGAACCCCGUCUGUGGCUCGGAGCCUUCGUCCUUGUGUCGUGUCCUCGAAGAGUCGGGUUGUUUGGGAAUGCAGCUCAAAAUGGGUGGUAAAUUCCAUCUAAGGCUAAAUAUUGACGAGAGACCGAUAGCGAACAAGUAGAGUGAUCGAAAGAUGAAAAGUACUUUGAAAAGAGAGUGAAACAGUACGUGAAAUUGUUGAAAGGGAAGCGU